rnacentral:rRNA from 1 species
UACGAAGGGUGCAAGCGUUACUCGGAAUUACUGGGCGUAAAGCGUGCGUAGGUGGUUCGUUAAGUCCGUUGUGAAAGCCCCGAGCUCAACUUGGGAAUUGCAGUGGAUACUGGCGAGCUGGAGUGCGGUAGAGGAAGGUGGAAUUCCCAGUGUAGAGGUGAAAUUCGUAGAUAUUGGGAAGAACACCGGUGGCGAAGGCGGCUAUCUGGACCGUAACUGACGCUGAGGCGCGAAAGCGUGGGGAGCAAACAGG